rnacentral:rRNA from 1 species
CACUGCAUUCUGUGCAGUAUCCUAAGUUGAAUACAUAGACUUAGAGAAGCGAACCCGGAGAACUGAACCAUCUAAGUACCCGGAGGAAAAGAAAUCAACCGAGAUUCCGCAAGUAGUGGCGAGCGAACGCGGAGGAGCCUGUACGUAAUAGCUGUUGAGAUAGAAGAACAAGCUGGGAAGCUUGACCAUAGUGGGUGAUAGUCCUGUAUUCGAAAUCUCAAUAGUGGUACUAAGCGUACGAAAAGUAGGGCGGGACACGUGAAAUCCUGUCUGAAUAUGGGGGGACCAUCCUCCAAGGCUAAAUACUCAUCAUCGACCGAUAGUGAACCAGUACCGUGAGGGAAAGGCGAAAAGAACCCCGGGAGGGGAGUGAAAUAGAACCUGAAACCUGAUGCAUACAAACAGUGGGAGCGCCUUUAUGGUGUGACUGCGUACCUUUUGUAUAAUGGGUCAACGACUUACAUUCAGUAGCGAGCUUAACCGGAUAGGGGAGGCGUAGGGAAACCGAGUCUUAAUAGGGCGAUGAGUUGCUGGGUGUAGACCCGAAACCGAGUGAUCUAUCCAUGGCCAGGUUGAAGGUGCCGUAACAGGUACUGGAGGACCGAACCCACGCAUGUUGCAAAAUGCGGGGAUGAGCUGUGGAUAGGGGUGAAAGGCUAAACAAACUCGGAGAUAGCUGGUUCUCCCCGAAAACUAUUUAGGUAGUGCCUCGAGCAAGACACUGAUGGGGGUAAAGCACUGUUAUGGCUAGGGGGUUAUUGCAACUUACCAACCCAUGGCAAACUCAGAAUACCAUCAAGUGGUUCCUCGGGAGACAGACAGCGGGUGCUAACGUCCGUUGUCAAGAGGGAAACAACCCAGACCGCCAGCUAAGGUCCCAAAUGAUAGAUUAAGUGGUAAACGAAGUGGGAAGGCCCAGACAGCCAGGAUGUUGGCUUAGAAGCAGCCAUCAUUUAAAGAAAGCGUAAUAGCUCACUGGUCGAGUCGUCCUGCGCGGAAGAUGUAACGGGGCUCAAAUCUAUAACCGAAGCUGCGGAUGCUAGUUUACUGGCAUGGUAGGGGAGCGUUCUGUAGGCCGAUGAAGGUGCAUUGUAAAGUGUGCUGGAGGUAUCAGAAGUGCGAAUGUUGACAUGAGUAGCGAUAAAGCGGGUGAAAAGCCCGCUCGCCGAAAGCCCAAGGUUUCCUACGCAACGUUCAUCGGCGUAGGGUGAGUCGGCCCCUAAGGCGAGGCAGAAAUGCGUAGUCGAUGGGAAACAGGUUAAUAUUCCUGUACUUGAUUCAAAUGCGAUGUGGGGACGGAGAAGGUUAGGUUAGCAAGCUGUUGGAAUAGCUUGUUUAAGCCGGUAGGUGGAAGACUUAGGCAAAUCCGGGUCUUCUUAACACCGAGAAGUGACGACGAAUGUCUACGGACAUGAAGUAACCGAUACCACGCUUCCAGGAAAAGCCACUAAGCUUCAGUUUGAAUCGAACCGUACCGCAAACCGACACAGGUGGGCAGGAUGAGAAUUCUAAGGCGCUUGAGAGAACUCGGGAGAAGGAACUCGGCAAAUUGAUACCGUAACUUCGGGAGAAGGUAUGCCCUCUAAGGUUAAGGACUUGCUCCGUAAGCCCUGGAGGGUCGCAGAGAAUAGGUGGCUGCGACUGUUUAUUAAAAACACAGCACUCUGCUAACACGAAAGUGGACGUAUAGGGUGUGACGCCUGCCCGGUGCUGGAAGGUUAAUUGAAGAUGUGAGAGCAUCGGAUCGAAGCCCCAGUAAACGGCGGCCGUAACUAUAACGGUCCUAAGGUAGCGAAAUUCCUUGUCGGGUAAGUUCCGACCCGCACGAAUGGCGUAACGAUGGCCACACUGUCUCCUCCCGAGACUCAGCGAAGUUGAAGUGGUUGUGAAGAUGCAAUCUACCCGCUGCUAGACGGAAAGACCCCGUGAACCUUUACUGUAGCUUUGCAUUGGACUUUGAAGUCACUUGUGUAGGAUAGGUGGGAGGCUUAGAAGCAGAGACGCCAGUCUCUGUGGAGCCGUCCUUGAAAUACCACCCUGGUGUCUUUGAGGUUCUAACCCAGACCCGUAAUCCGGGUCGGGGACCGUGCAUGGUAGGC